rnacentral:ncRNA from 2 species
CUUCGUUCUCGGGGCGGGGUGAAAUUCCCCACCGGCGGUAAGAACUUUAUGUUUAAGCCCGCGAGCGUCUAACCUUGGUUAGAGUCAGCAGAUCUGGUGUGAUUCCAGAGCCGACGGUUAUAGUCCGGAUGAUAGAGAGCGUGA